CUGGGUCUGAAGGAGGAGGGGCUGGGGGCCUGGACUCCUGGGUCUGAGGGCACAGAGGGAUGGGGUCUCCUAUGUGUCUGGGUUGAAUGGGGUUGGAAUCAAGGUCCUCAGGAGGGGAGGAGCUUGGAGCAGGGAGUCCUGGGUUUGGGAAAGAGAGUGGCUGAGGUUCAGAAUUACUGACCUCGUCCCCAUGCAGGGGACAAAAUCCGAACUUUGGACUCUGAAAGGCCGGGGACUGAGAUCCAGCAGCUGUCGUCCCAAAGUGAGGAGGGAGCUGGGAAGCGGAUGUCCUAAGACCGAGAGAGGGCAAGGCUGAGUCCAGCGUCCCUGGGUGUUGACAGCAGAGGCUGAGUUUCAGAGGCGCGAUUCUGAGUCCGUUUAGAAAUAGGGUAUGGCGUUCGGAGAGAGGUGGGGAGAGGACUGGGGCGUGGCCAGGAGUCCUGAGCCUCGCGAAGAAGCCAAAGGGGUGUUUCUUCUCCCUCUUCUGGUCCUUGGUAGUGCAUUCCUGAGCUCUGACCUCAGGCGACGGCUGAGGUCCCUGAGGGUGGCGAUGGACCCCUCCCGUCGGGGUCUCAGCGCGAACGCACCUUCCGCGGGAGACCUCAGGAGCUCUGCCCCGCCCUCCUCCUCCUGGGCCAGCCUCCACUUCCUCCUAACGGGUUCUGGAGGGGCGUGGGGGGAAGGAGGAGGUGGCCGACUCCGCCGUAACACCUCCCAGGUGGCGCAGUCCUGGCGGAGAGACCUGCCUUGCUGGAGGUGGUGGGAGGUGUGGCUCCUUACGUCUGGACCGGAUUCCAAUACGCUGCGCAGUUUCCGGGCUCCAGCCUUUUCCAGGUGUCUGACCUCAUCCGCCUCCAGAGCCGGACCUUUCUCCAUCGGGGUCUUCAGCUAAGACCGCUGGUGAGUGGGCUGGAGGCCAGGACUCCCAGGUCUGAGGGAGGAGGGCUUGUGGGUCCGGACCCCUGGGUCUGGGGGAGGACGGGCUGGGGGCCCGGAAUCCCAGGUCUGAGGAGGAGAGGCUGGGGGCCUGGACCCCUGGGUCUGAGGGAGGAGGGGCUGGGGGCCCGGAAUCCCAGGU
rnacentral:lncRNA from 1 species